GGAUUGAAGUACCAAAAGGCUAUCUUGCAGUCUAUGUUGGAGAUAAGAUGAGGCGGUUUGUGAUUCCAGUAUCAUACUUGAACCAACCUUCAUUUCAAGAAUUAUUAAGUCAAGCAAAAGAAGAAUUUGGAUAUGAUCAUCCAACUGGUGGUCUCACAAUUCCAUGUCAGGAGGAUGUGUUCCUAAAUGUCACCUCUCGCUUGAAUGAGUUGUAAAUCAUGCUAAUGGAGACGUAGAUUAGAUUAGUUGAGGCAAAUUUGUACAGAAGGCACUUUCUUUUAUAGAAAAUAUUUUACAUUUUGUUAUAACUCCAUUGGAAGUUGAAACCUGUUGCCUGAAUUAAAGUGCAACAUAAGACAUUGUUUAAACACUUUUUUGCUUUUGCCAAAUCUCAAUGAAUUCUAAUAUAUACAAUAGUUUCAUACUUUCAUUAUCAAAUUUCAGUCCAUAUACAUCAGGCUAUUAGCUUUUACUAGUGAUUAAGUUGACCAAGUCUAUUGGAGAUAUUUACCAAUAUAAUCAUGACCCUAUUGUAUUUCAAUAUCUAUUCUUGAGCUAAACAAUGAGCACACAACACAUUUGUCAUGAAACAGCUUUUGCAACUUGUUGCUAGAUUUUUCAAUAAUAUGUAGUGCACUCAGUUUUUGACUUUCUGCUUUCAGCAUCAUAGAAUAAUUAUCCGAAGUUAAUUUGGUGCAGCUUACAAUGCUAUCAUCCCUGAAAAACCAUUCUUCAUUUCCCAGGCCAUCGUUUCGUCUAUUUUCCUAAUUAAGUAGAACCAUCACAUGGAUCUCUGAUAUUUAAGAAGUAGAGACUUCAACCAGGUAAGUAUUUUUGGAGGAUAGUUUGUAGCAUAAACAUUAGUGCUAAUUGCAAGGACUGCUUGAUAUAAAGGAGGUUUCUCAGAUACCCCUGUUAUAUAUAGCUUUGAAGUAAUUAACUAAAAGUUCUUGUUUUUGUGUAUGGAUUGAAAACUUUAAACAAGUUGUUGGAUAAGUGAUCACAUAAACCUGAAUAACAAAAAUUGCACAAAAACUUCAAGGCUUCAAUUGUAAGGCAUCUCCCCAAGAGAUAUUAUUAUAGACUAGAGUAAUAGUGGCUUCCAUAUAUGGUUGGAAGAACGACCAGUCUAUGAGACAUAUCACAAAGUUCUUAAUGUGAACGUGAGACUUUCUAUUUAAAGCCAUAAAUUUUCUAAUACUUGAGCAAUAUAAAAAUUCUCCCUCAUUUUUUGGAAAUGCUCUCACACUUACACACUGUACAAUGUAAGGUUGCAGGUGCAUUUUUAUCUAAAAUGACAAAAAUCAGAGAAACGCUUAGUUGCUUUACUUCUUUUAUGAAUUUAAAAGAAAACAGAUUAUUUUUAAAUAUAACUCCACAUGUUCCCCCGUAAAUUUAUUGAUCAAACCUCACAGAAGAAGACACUCCAAGCUAAUAAUAGUUCAUGAGUUCAAGGUCAUAUAUUACUGCAACUGUAUGUCUUGACUGUAUUGAAACAACUACAAUAAAAUGAAUAAAUUACUUAUUAGUGUUUCAUGGGUGCCAGAGUUAUUUCCAUGCAUAUUUAAAUAAAUAAUAAAGGAACUGUGUUAACAUUUAAUUUGCAAUACAAAUAUUUAAAAAAGGAUUUAGAUUUGUGAAUUUCUCAUUAUGGACCAUGUGAUCCAAAUUAUUAACACUAUUCCCAACUUCUGUCAAAUAGUUGGAUUUUGGUCUUGAAUCCAAAUAUAUAUAUUUUUUAGGGGGGGGAAAGGAGAGAAAAAAACAGUUUAAGAAAUUUCAAUUCCUUUGCUUUCAAACAAAACAAUAAAUAGAAGAAAGCAUCAUCAACACUGGACUCCAGAUGUAGCCACUAAUCAGAUUUGGGCACUAAUAAAAAUAUGAUCAUGCAAGCAUACUUAUAGUCUACAAAAAAUAAAUUGACAAGCAUGCAUCUACCAAGUGACAACUUAAAAUAAGGGUUCCUGGGAAAAUUUGGAAAAUAAAUGAUUGCUAUAAUAUAUGUUUAUAAGUUUCUGGCAGGAUACAUCUUUCCAAUUCUCUAAGUAUAAAAAUAAGAUAAAAUAUUUACAAUGUUCAACUAUAUGUCUUCUCUACAAAAUUGAAUUGGUCAUUGACCAUCUACAUUUCAUUCAUCUCCUCUAUGACCUUUGCAAGCGAGAAGUGAUAUCUAGGAAGACAUCUUCUCUACACGGGAUUGUAAGGCCACCCAUUGGAUGAGCAAACCCAAAUUCUUGUUCAGCUUGACUAAGAAGGUCUUGGAUUGAUGGUUGGUUCAAAUAUGAUAUAGGAAUCAUGAACCGCUUCUUUUCAUUUUUUCCCACGUAGACUGCAAGAUAACCCUUUGGUACAUUACUACGCCUUUGAAGACCGAGCAAACGGAAACCCAUUGCAGAUCAAGAGAAUGAUUUGAAUGAACUUGUGUAGGAAAUAUUUUAUGUUACAAAAAUGCAAAGAACUUGUUUGUGACUGAAGCCAUGAAUAUCUCUAUAUAUAGAUUAAGAGAUGGCCUUGGAAAACCAUUAGGCACAGAAAUAAUUGAUGAAGAGAUAUCCAACAAAUGGGGUCUACCUAGAGACACUGGUGUGAUGGAUCACAUGGAACUGUCUUUGAUUUCAUUUAUCAAACACAGAAAAUUAAUGUGUGGCUGGAUGCCCCAGUUUUUUUUAUGAACGAGCAAGAUGGUACCCACUUGAAAAUUGAAACCAGAGAAAUGUGUACAGUUCUACACCAAAAAGUUAGCAUUAUAUAGCUGGCUUGUUUAUUGUGUUCCAGACACACAUGAGACAUCUCAUGUGUACUACAAUGUGAUCGACCAGGGAAUUGAUAACUGCAGUCUUUUUUAAAGUGUUUAAUAAUAAAAAUAACAUCUAUGAAUUGUAGGAGUGAGAAAAUUGAAAUAGACAAUACCAUGAUCCCUUGUCUCUCAGUAGACCCCUUCAUAGCCACACCAAAAAUCAUUCCUGAUUCAUUAUUGUGGAAUUGGAAAAUAGAGGCCUUAUCAACUAUAUAUACAUUAUUUCAUGGAUUCUCAAACCUUUUGCAUUCUGAACUAUAUGAAAUUAAAUAUUUCUUUCUUAUAUAAGUCUUUGGAUAUCAAUAUUUUGGUUUCAUGUGAACUGUGAAGUAACAAGAAAUAAUGGAGUUCCACUUAGCAGGUAUUACCGUAUUAGACUGUCACAAUUUUCUGCAUCGCAAGCAAGGAACCUAAGUGGAAUCAAGUACCAAAAGGAUACCUUGCAGACUGUAGUCUAUGCUGGAGAUAAAAUGACGAGGAUGCCCCAGUUGUGAUGUUGUCUUCAUGGAGGAUCAAACCAUUGAAGAUAUUGAUGAAGCAUACAAGACAGAGUCUCCCAGUACAAAUGACCUAGUUGAUCUUGAUAGAGUUUCAGAGUCUCAUAUGCAUGUUGUAGGUUAUUUCAACAAUAAUAAAGAUGUUAUUUAUUGAUAGAAGGUUCUUCUCGUGAGGUUAUUAAUGAAUCAUUUGAUCCAUUUAAACAGUCUACUAGAAGCAUGUUCUCUGUAUUCAUGAUGAAUAUGUGAUGCUCAUUGAUGGGGGAAAGCCUAGGUGUUGUGGAGAUGAUAUUGAACCGGUCAAGUUGCCUAAAGACUAACAUUACUUUGAAAAUUCGGUUGGUUCACAGGAUGAAGAUUUUUGUUACUUCCUUCAUUUCACGGUGCAGUGUUACUUUAGUUGUUAGGGGUUAUGGUAAAAAAAAAUGGUUUUAUAUAUAUCAACUCUUAGGUGGAAUAAUUCUUUUGGAGAUAUUGACCAAACUUGAUAUUGUCACGACUCACUCUAAAGCCAUGACCAAUGCACAGGCUAACUCUAACUCAAAUGACCUUUAGUCUGGCAAGCCUACAGAUCAAACUGAACUCGGAAUGCAUACUCCAACAAAUCAAAAAGUUUAAUGAAAAUUUGACAGAGUUUUCCGUGUAUCUCCAACAUUUCAUCAUUCAAAUUUAAUAACUGCCACGAGUUCUUGAAUUUAAAGUUCAUAGGCAUGUUGUGUGUAUUUAUUAAUAAAAAAAAAUUAACUUGCCCCAAAUAAAAUUAUCUUUCUCCUUAGUCCUAUUAAAAAAUACUUUUGUUCUUCCCUUGCUAAUAAUCACGUGAUCUAAUCAUCAGGACAACCAAGUCUGGUUUUUCUUAUACUAUGGCAAGCAACCUUGCUCAUACAGACUAAAGUGAACGUUGGCAAUGUAAAGAAACAAACAUAAAAGACAGGAAAUGCUUGAGUAGUUGAAUUCCUUGUCAUUAAACAAAAAUAAAAGGAACAAAUUUAUCAUUCUAAUGGUCUUUUCUUUUACAAAUUGAGAAGAUGCCUAAUGUACAAAAUGUCUCUACAAAUCUAUGUCAGUCUUCUACACUACGAGAUUUAUAGUCCAUUCAAGCGGGAAGUUAUGUUUUGGAAGACAUCUUCUCUGCAAGGAAUUGUAAGGCCGCCCAUGGGAUGAUCAUAUCCAAACUCUUCCUCAGCUCGACUCAACAAGUCUUGGAAUGAAGAUUGGGUCAAGUAUGAUAUCGGGAUCACAAACCGCUUCAUUCUCUCUCCAACAUAGACUGCAAGAUAGCCCUUUGGCACCUCCACAGCUUUUGAAGAUGCUUGGUUUUCAGCAAAUGAUGCCCUUCUGAUACCAGGUAGACGAAAACCCAUUGUUGUAUUGUAUUUACUGAGACUUGAUAAGAAAAUUGUCUAAAGAGACUUGGAAGUUCAGGCUUGUGAAAUUCGAAUUCUUCAGGAUGUGAAUGAUUUGUGUUGGUGCUAAAAUGCUUGCAACCAUGAAUAUAUAUAGAUUAAAGGAUAUGAGAAGGCUUCUUGAAUUAUUGGUAAAGGAGGGCCUAUGACUAUGAGAUAGGAGUCAUGGGACCAACUGAGAGACAAGGGCAUAUGGUAAUGUUUCAGAUGACUCUUAGCUCCCAUAAUCAACUUAACAUGUUAUGGUAGAUAAUUCAAGUCCCACCUUCUGGAGCAAAGACCAUCAGAUUACCUCACUUGAAAUGAAACACAUAUCUGUAAAAGAAAAUCUAAAACGAUGAUGUUGACACUUAUUUGGGGUGGAGGGGACCGCAAACUUCAUGUAUUCAAGUUCACAUGGUGUUGCACAAAAUUUGGCAUACACAGAAAAUGUGGUUCAUAGUGCCUCAUGAUCAUGUGUUCUGUAUGGAUCCUCUCCUUACCUCCAAUUCCAAUUGAGACAGCUCAUGGUUCACAGGUUGCUUACUCUCACUCUGAGUAGUUGGUGGAUGGUAGAUAUAUAUCAAUAGCAUUGUCAAUCAUCUAAACCAACAUGUGAGAUGUCUAUAGCAUGUCGAUCAUUCAAAUAGUUAUAAUGAACAAGCAUUAGGUUUCACCUGUAAAUCUGUUGGUCAUUAUCUCAGAAGGUGGUGGGGUAUUUACUCCAAUUCCUAAUCCUUGAAAGAGAUCUCUAAGACAAUACCAUGUGAUCCCUUAUCUUUCAGUUGACUCCAUCGUAGCCCCACCAAAUAUCAUUCAUUGUGGUAUUGGAUUGCAGAGGCCAUUGGCAACUAUAUAUACAAUAUUUAUUCGGUACUCAAGCAACACAGGUCAUUGCAUUCCUAAAGUAUAAGAAUUCAAAUAUUUCUUUCUUAUACAAGUCCUUUGACAUCAGUAUAAUAUAUUUGUUGUGUGGAGCAAUAGAAAACAAUGGGUUUCCGCAUAGCAGGUAUCAUUAGACGGGCUUCAUUUUCUACUACCCUAGCAGCCUCCAAGGGGAUUGAAGUACCAAAAGGCUAUCUUUCAGUCUAUGUUGGAGAUAAGAUGAGGCGGUUUGUGAUUCCAGUAUCAUACUUGAACCAACCUUCAUUUCAAGAAUUAUUAAGUCAAGCAGAAGAAGAAUUUGGAUAUGAUCAUCCAACUGGUGGUCUCACAAUUCCAUGUCAGGAGAAUGUGUUCCUAAACAUUACAUCUCGCUUGAAUGAGUUGCAAUCAUGCUAAUGGAGAUGUAGAUUAGAUUAGAUGAGGCAAUUUGUACAGAAGGCACUUUCUUUUAUAGGAAAUAUUUUCCAAUUGGUUCUCUACUUCUCUUGUAUAAUUCCAUUGGAAGUUGAAACCUAAAUCUCAUGAAUUCUAAUAUAUACAACAGUUUCAUUAUCAAAUUGGCGCACUCAGUUCUUGACUUCCUGCUUUCAGCAUCACAGAAUAAUUAUCUCAAGUUAAUUUGGUUCACCUUCCAAUGCUAUCAUCCCUGCAAAUCAUUCUUCAUUUCCCCGGGCUAUCGAUUGAUCUGUUUUCCUAAAUAAGCAGAACUAUCACAUCGAUCUCUGAUAUUUAACAAGUAGAGACUUCAACCAGAUAAAUAUUUUGAGAGGAUAUUUUGUAGACAGGUCUGCU
rnacentral:lncRNA from 1 species